rnacentral:tRNA from 1 species
GUUUUAAUAAUUUAUUUAAAAUAUUGGUCUUGUAAGCCGAAAAUAAGAGGCAUCUUUUAAAACU